AACCUUUUUUUCCUAUUUGUCGAAAAUAAUUUAAUAGAUUUAUCCAAACCAACGGUAAUGGUAAUCAGAAGUUUUCAAUGUUUUCAUACUGUUAAUAACGCGUUAACGUAAACGCGAAUUUAUCACGAAAUCUUAAAAACCGCUUGACAUACAAAGAUGAAUUUUGGCAGUGAGGUCGUUUACAGUUAGUAGAGGACUACUAAGAUAGCCGGAAACGAAUGUAUAAAAUUUGGCAAAGACAGGGAGUUGUGGAAAAAGAUGGAGGAGGCCUUUACCCUUUCAGGGUGUCCGAAAUUAAAAAGAACAUACUAACUAUUAUUACUAACAUAAUUUAAGAAAACUUGCUAACAAACUACUAACAACUUAUGAAGUGUAAUUUAGAAAUGUAAAAAUUGGAAUAAACGGCUUAUUUUUAUUAUUAUUAUUUAUAUUAAGAGGCUGGACUAAGAAGGUCUAAGGGCGGACGAAGUCGCGGGCAUCCGCUAAUUCCAUAUUAAUUCGCGUUAACGUUAACGCGAUAAAGUAUAAAAACAUUGAAAACAUUGAAAACUAGGCACGCAGGUAACAUACGGUGGAAUUCAUAGUCGUAGUAGGGGGCCCCUAAGGGGAUUAUUCAGCCGCUAUGUGUCGAAUUCAACCCCUACGCGUUUCAUAGACAAAAGAAACCCCUCAUUUGACAGGAGCUGGCGGCUGACUGCUGAAUUACCGAUAUUUGUCAGCCAAACCAUCCCCUGGCAUUUUUUUUUGUUGUUAAUCGUGAUUUAUUUAUUAGAAAGUGGACGUUAUAAGUGAAGUUAUAAACAGCGAGUUAUAUCAGUGCCCAAGAUAUAUAUUCGCAAUUGCGUAAACCCAGUAUAAUACUAUGGCGAUAUGGAAUGUACGAAAAAUUCUCAUAUUAGGCAUAAUAUGCCUCUGUUUGAUGAAGAAUGAACACAGAGGACCAAGAGAGGAAUACCAAUACCGCUAGUAUUAUACAUUCUAGCAGCACUUCGAUUCUAUGAAACGGGAUGUUAUCAGACUGUAUGUGCAGUCCAUCAAGCAUUCUAUGAAAUAACAGAAAUGCCACAAGUCAAGCUGUAUUGAUGGCACGCAUAGGUAUACAUAUAAACAACCCUGGAGGACCCUAUGCACAGAUUUAAAGAAACCGGCUAUCAUGGCAGGGAAUAGCAGUGAUGAGCUCUGAGAAUACUGUUUUACCAAGAAUACUGAGAAUACUUUGGUCCUUGAAAAUCUGAGUUUUCAGAUCACAGUAAUUGGAAGACCCACAUACCUUGAAAAGUCAGCAGCAUUUAAUAUCCAGGUAGUAGGAGUGAGUGCAGUAUGUUGUAAGGUGGUCACUCACUCUGAAGUCCAUAACAAUAGAAAAUGUAUACAAAUCUUAAUUGAAUGAAAUUUAUUGAUUCACAUCUUUAAUAAA